rnacentral:rRNA from 1 species
CUACGGGUUGCUGCAGUGGGGAAUAUUGCGCAAUGGGCGAAAGCCUGACGCAGCCACGCCGCGUGAGUGAUGAAGGCCCGAGGGUCGUAAAGCUCUGUCGGGAGGGAAGAAGUUCUGACGGUACCUCCCAAGAAAGCACCGGCUAACUCCGUGCCAGCAGCCGCGGUAAUACGGAGGGUGCAAGCGUUGCUCGGAAUCACUGGGCGUAAAGCGUACGCAGGCGGCGCGUCAAGUCGGGUGUGAAAGCCCGGGGCUCAACCCCGGAACUGCACUCGAAACUGUCUAGCUUGAGUACAGGAGAGGAGAGUGGAAUUCCACAUGUAGCGGUGAAAUGCGUAGAUAUGUGGAGGAACACCAAUGGCGAAGGCAGCUCUCUGGCCUGAUACUGACGCUGAGGUGCGAAAGCGUGGGGAGCAAACAGGAUUAGAUACCCGCGUAGUC